ensembl:lncRNA
CUGAGGGGGAACAAAAUGGUGGACUAAAAAAGCCUUCAUCAUGAGGGAGGUCAGGAGGGCUGAGGGGGAACAAAAUGGUGGACUGAAUUAGCCUUCAUCAUGAGGGAGGUCAGGAGGGCUGAGGGGGAACAAAAUGGUGGACUAAAAAGCCUUCAUCAUGAGGGAGGUCAGGAGGGCUGAGGGGGAACAAAAUGGUGGACUGAAAAAGCCUUCAUCAUGAGGGAGGUCAGGAGGGCUGAGGGGGAACAAAAUGGUGGACUGAAUUAGCCUUCAUCAUGAGGGAGGUCAGGAGGGCUGAGGGGGAACAAAAUGGUGGACUGAAUUAGCCUUCAUCAUGAGGGAGGUCAGGAGGGCUGAGGGGGAACAAAAUGGUGGACUGAAAAAGCCUUCAUCAGUUGUUAUAAAGACUGACACUACAAGCUUCCUGUUGGUUGACAGACCCAUUGCUUCACCAAUGAAGUUUGUAUUAAAGGCUGUGUGUUCCAACUGGCUGCCUAUUCCCUAAAUAAUGCACUUCCUAUGGCUCUGGUCAAAAGUAGUGCACUAUAUAGGGAUUAGGGUGCCAGUUGGCUGAAAGCUCCAAGUAUGGGAAGCAUUGAUAAAGGGGGGGACAGGACAUGGGAAACACUGGUAAAGGGGAGGACAGGACAUGGGAAACACUGGUAAAGGGGAGACAGGACAUGGGAAACACUGGUAAAGGGGGGACAGGACAUGGGAAACACUGGUAAAGGGGGGCCAGGACAUGGGAAACAUCUGUAAAGGGGGACAGGACAUGGGAAACACUGGUAAAGGGGGGACAGGACAUGGGAAACACUGGUAAAGGGGGACUUGGGGUCUGGGAAACACUGGUAAAGGGGGGAUAGGACAGGGGUCUGGGAAACACUGGUAAAGGGGGGGACUUGGGGUCUGGGAAACACUGGUAAAGGGGAGGACUUGGGGUCUGGGAAACACUGGUAAAGGGGAGGACUUGGGGUCUGGGAAACACUGGUAAAGGGGAGGACUUGGAGUCUGGGAAACACUGGUAAAGGGGGGACUUGGGGUCUGGGAAACACUGGUAAAGGAGAGGACUUGGGAAACAUUGGUAAAUGGGAGGACUUGGGGUCUGGGAAACACUGGUAAAGGGGAGGACUUGGGGUCUGGGAAACACUGGUAAAUGGGAGGACUUGGAGUCUGGGAAACAUUGGUAAAUGGGAGGACUUGGGGUCUGGGAAACACUGGUAAAGGAGAGGACUUGGGAAACAUUGGUAAAUGGGAGGACUUGGGGUCUGGGAAACACUGGUAAAGGGGAGGACUUGGGAAACAUUGGUAAAUGGGAGGACUUGGGGUCUGGGAAACAUUGGUAAAUGGGAGGACUUGGGGUCUGGGAAACAUUGGUAAAUGGGAGGACUUGGGGUCUGGGAAACACUGGUAAAGGGGAGGACUUGGGAAACACUGGUAAAGGGGAGGACUUGGGAAACAUUGGUAAAUGGGAGGACUUGGGGUCUGGGAAACAUUGGUAAAAACUUGG